CAGCAUCGGGCUUUCCGCUCCCCGCGGGUUAGCCAAGGACGCAAUCGGCUUUGAGGCGGUGGUGGCCUGUGGCCUCGUGUCCCCCCUCCUGCUUCUCCUGUUCCCCCAACCCCUGUCCAGGUACCUAGCGCGUCCGUCGCGGAGGUUUAAAGACCCUUUGGGGGUCGCCCGUCCGCCUAGGGGUUGGGGCGGUCGGGCCCGUGGGGAGGAGGGUUCCCUUCUCCCCCAGACUCCGCCGCCCACCGCACCCCCGGGGCCAUGGUUGCUG